rnacentral:rRNA from 1 species
GGGGAAUUGUUCGCAAUGGGCGCAAGCCUGACGACGCAACGCCGCGUGGAGGAUGAAGAUCUUCGGGUCGUAAACUCCUGUCGAAUGGGACGAAUAGAUUGCGGGUUAACAGCCCGUGGUCCUGACGGUACCGUUCAAGGAAACCCCGGCUAACUCCGUGCCAGCAGCCGCGGUAAUACGGGGGGGGUGAGCGUUGUUCGGAAUUACUGGGCGUAAAGGGCUCGUAGGCGGCCAACUAAGUCAGACGUGAAAUCCCUCAGCUUAACCGGGGAACUGCGUCCGAUACUGGCGGGCUUGAAUUCGGGAGAGGGAUGUGGAAUUCCAGGUGUAGCGGUGAAAUGCGUAGAUAUCUGGAGGAACACCGGUGGCGAAGGCGGCAUCCUGGACCGACAUUGACGCUGAGGCGCGAAAGCCAGGGGAGCAAA